CGGGGCGUGGCCCAGGGGUAGGGCACUCGUUUGGGGUGCGAGUAGUCGUGGGUUCAAGUCCCACCGCCCCGACCA
rnacentral:tRNA from 1 species